UUCCCCCAGUGUUCAGCUGCACAGAAACUGAACAAAAGUGGCACAAACCAAGGACCAUGGGUAUUAAACCUGGUCCAGUUAAUGACAUGGUCAUCAUAUCAGCCAGACCAAGAGAGAGGAGGCUUGCAGAAGGAAUAAGAAGCAACUUGUAUAAAGGAGUGAGCUGCCCUCUGCCAGACAUCUCCACAUUAAAAGUUCAG